UUAUAGUUUAUGGAUUAUCACGUUAAUUAACUCAUAAAUUUUAUGUGAAAGGUUUGAAAAUAUUUUUUCGUCAAUGGCAAACUGCAAACUGUCAUU